AUUGAACGCUGGCGGCAGGCUUAACACAUGCAAGUCGAGCGAGCGGCGGACGGGUGAGUAAUGUCUGGGAAUCUGCCUGAUGGAGGGGGAUAACUACUGGAAACGGUAGCUAAUACCGCAUACCAUCAGAUGUGCCCAUAUGGGAUUAGCUAGUAGGUGGGGUAAUGGCUCACCUAGUCGACGAUCUCUAGCUGGUCUGAGAGGAUGACCAGGCACACUGGAACUGAGACACGGCCCAGACUCCUACGGGAGGCAGCAGUGGGGAAUAUUGCACAAUGGGCGCAAGCCUGAUACAGCCAUGCCGCGUGUAUGAAGAAGGCCUUAGGGUUGUAAAGCACUUUCAGCGGGGAGGCGUUACUCGCAGAAGAAGCACCGGCUAACUCCGUGCCAGCAGCCGCGGUAAUUC
rnacentral:rRNA from 1 species